AGCAGCCGCGGUAAUUCCAGCUCCAAUAGCGUAUAUUAAAGUUGUUGCAGUUAAAAAGCUCGUAGUCGAAUUUCGGGAUCAGUAGGUUGGUCAUGCCUCUGGUAUGUACUGGUCUCACUGGUUCCUCCUUCCUGAUGAACCGUAAUGCCAUUAAUUUGGUGUUGCGGGGAGACUGGACUGUUACUUUGAAAAAAUUGAGUGUUUAAAGCAGGCUUACGCUUGAAUACAUUAGCAUGGAAUAAUGAAAUAGGACGAUCGAUCCUAUUUUGUUGGUUUCUAGGAUUGACGUAAUGAUUAAUAGGGAUAGUUGGGGGCAUUAGUAUUCAAUUGUCAGAGGUGAAAUUCUUGGAUUUAUUGAAGACUAACUACUGCGAAAGCAUUUGCCAAGGAUGUUUCAUUAAUCAAGAACGAAAGUUAGGGGAUCGAAAGACGAUACAGAUACCGUGUAGUCUUAACCAUAAACUAUAGCCGACUAGGGAUCGGGAUGAUUGUUAAUUUUUAAUGUACUUCAGUUCGGUAC
rnacentral:rRNA from 1 species